rnacentral:sRNA from 1 species
GCCGGGCAUAGUGGUGCAGGCCUGUAAUCCCAGCAGCUUGGGAGGCUGAGACAGGAGAAUCGUGAGUUCAGAGCCAGCCUCAGCAAAAGUGAGGUAUUAAGCAACUUGGUGAGACCCUGUCUCUA